AUGAACGCUGGCGGCGUGCCUCAUCCAUGCCAGUCGAGCGAACAGACGAGGAGCUUGCUCCUCUGACGUUAGCGGCGGACGGGUGAGUAACACGUGGAUAACCUACCUAUAAGACUGGGAUAACUUCGGGAAACCGGAGCUAAUACCGGAUAAUAUAUUGAACCGCAUGGUUCAAUAGUGAAAGACGGUUUUGCAGUCACUUAUAGAUGGAUCCGCGCCGCAUUAGCUAGUUGGUAAGGUAACGGCUUACCAAGGCAACGAUGCGUAGCCGACCUGAGAGGGUGAUCGGCCACACUGGAACUGAGACACGGUCCAGACUCCUACGGGAGGCAGCAGUAGGGAAUCUUCCGCAAUGGGCGAAAGCUUGACGGAGCAACGCCGCGUGAGUGAUGAAGGUCUUCGGAUCGUAAAACUCUGUUAUUAGGGAAGAACAAAUGUGUAAGUAACUAUGCACGUCUUGACGGUACCUAAUCAGAAAGCCACGGCUAACUACGUG
rnacentral:rRNA from 1 species